rnacentral:misc_RNA from 1 species
CCGAGUUAGGGUUGUCCGACGGCCCGACCUCCCAACCCUGUGUCUACCGUUACCUUUUGUCGUUGCUUCGGCGGACCGGUAUGCCCAACUGGUCUUGACCGCCGGGGACCCGUGCCCUGGAGAGCGUUCGCCGAUGGCCCAACCACAAAACUCUUGUACCGAAACACUGUCGUCUGAAUUACUUGAUUAUCAAUCAGAACA